GGAGAGGUGUCCGAGUGGUCGAAGGAGCACGCCUGGAAAGUGUGUAUACGGCAACGUAUCGGGGGUUCGAAUCCCCCCCUCUCCGCCA
rnacentral:tRNA from 1 species